AAAGAUUAAGCCAUGCAUGUCUCAGUACAAGCCAAAUUAAGGUGAAACCGCGAAAGGCUCAUUAAAUCAGUUAUGGUUCCCUAGAUCGUACCACACUUACUUGGAUAACUGUGGUAAUUCUAGAGCUAAUACAUGCAAACAGAGCUCCGACCGGAGACGGAAGGAGCGCUUUUAUUAGAUCAAAACCAAUCGGUGGCGGGCUUGCUCGUCAUCGUACACUUUGGUGACUCUGUAUAACUUUUUGCUGAUCGCAUGGUCUCGCACCGGCGACGCAUCUUUCAAAUGUCUGCCUUAUCAACUGUCGAUGGUAGGUUCUGCGCCUACCAUGGUUG
rnacentral:rRNA from 1 species